CGGUGGUGUUCUACCUGGCAGUGUGGGUGUCAGCUCCAUGGGCGUCCCAACCAACAGCUGAGCAGCUCCCACUUCUGGUCGCCGAACAGCUGAGUCCUCCGGGAGGCAAUGUUUUACAGAAUUCUGCAUGAGGAAGAGUUCUUUGUAAACUGAAUCUGAAGAACCUUCAAACAACUUUCGUCAUAAGAACAAACUUUUACCUGGGAAAAAAGAGCAUCAGAAACCAUGAAGGAUUAGCACAGAGUGAAAAUAAGCUAUACAAUAGAGAAAAAGAUGAAAACAACAGCUGUAAAGUUAUCUUAUGAGUUAUGAGCAAGAUGAAAUAUAUCCCAAAAUUCAGAGGUUUUGACAGACCUAACACAACAGAAAAUACUUUCUCCACUUUCUAUGAUUAUUGGUUAUUCCUUUGCUUAUGGCUUAUUGAAAAAAAAAAAAAACAAGACCAACUACAUAGCAGAAGAAUGGACCUGCACUGGGAAUUCCUGCAUCGAAGAAUAGGAACAGAUAACUUGGGAGAAAUUCCCAUUUUAAAAUGCAGGAGAAAAAGUUGCAUCUUUCAGAACAGAACAGCACAACAGAGUUGGAAGGAACCUUGAAAUUUUUCUAGUCCAGCCCCCUGCUCAAGCUGGUAAAAACCAAUAUGAUUGCAUAGUAGAAAAGAUAAGUCCUAAAUUACAAAUCACUAUUUAUUAUUAUUAUCAUGCUUAUCUUUACUACCCCCUCUUAUUGGUGUUAUUAUGAUUAUUAAUCUGUUGCUGUGCAUGUAUACUGAGAAAUUCUGCACUGAAACCAAAUUCCUUUUGUGUCUAAUCACACUUGGCCAAAUAAAGUAUUCUAUUCUGUUCUGUUCCUACUGUACUCUUUUCAAAUGCUAUGCAGGAAUUUUUUGUUCUCCUUCACCAUCUUGAUUUUAACUACCCUUCCAAUAGCCCUGCAUCGAUGUUCACCUUCCAAAUGGAAAGAUAAUUCAGAGCAGUGCCUAGGGGGGCAUGUUGCCA